rnacentral:rRNA from 1 species
AGAGUUUGAGUCCUGGCUCGAGGACGAACGCUGGCGGCGUGCUUAACACAUGCAAGUCGAACGAGAAUCGACUGGAAGGAGAUUUCGGGUCAACGGAAGGUGAGGACAGUGGCGACGGGUGAGUAACGCGUGAGGAACCUGCCUUUCAGAGGGGGACAACAGUUGGAAACGACUGCUAAUACCGCAUAACGCAUAGUUGUCGCAUGGCGACUAUGCCAAAGAUUUAUCGCUGAAAGAUGGCCUCGCGUCUGAUUAGCUAGUUGGCGGGGUAACGGCCCACCAAGGCGACGAUCAGUAGCCGGACUGAGAGGUUGGCCGGCCACAUUUGGGACUGAGAGACGGCCCAGACUCCUACGGGAGGCAGCAGUGGGGAAUAUUGGGCAAUGGGCGCAAGCCUGACCCAGCAACGCCGCGUGAAGGAAGAAGGCUUUCGGGUUGUAAACUUCUUUUGUUGGGGACGAGAGGAAGACGGUACCCGACGAAUAAGCCACGGCUAACUACGUGCC